CGGCCAGCUUGCAAGGUUCUGCACCUCUCACACCAGACGAUAAACUCUAACACUUUAGAUAUUUUCAUUUAUGUUAUUUUAUCUUUUACUAAAUAAUAUAACAUUAUUUAUAUUAGAUAUUUUACGCUCAGGUUCAGAUGAAAGGGGUCACCAAUGACCCCACAGUCACACGCACCAGCGACCAGCUCCCAGACAUAGAGCCAUGGUCGAGAAUCUACUCGACUUGCGGCACCUCCGACUCGAUCGAUGGAUAGAGAGCUCAUCCACAUUUAGAGUCACUCAUAAGUAUUACAACUUUAAUUAAUAUAU
rnacentral:lncRNA from 1 species